rnacentral:rRNA from 1 species
UACGUAGGGUGCAAGCGUUGUUCGGAUUCAUUGGGCGUAAAGGGUGCGUAGGUGGCGCGGUAAGUCGGGUGUGAAAUUUCGGAGCUUAACUCCGAAACUGCAUUCGAUACUGCCGUGCUUGAGGACUGGAGAGGAGACUGGAAUUUACGGUGUAGCAGUGAAAUGCGUAGAGAUCGUAAGGAAGACCAGUGGCGAAGGCGGGUCUCUGGACAGUUCCUGACACUGAGGCACGAAGGCCAGGGGAGCAAACGGG